rnacentral:rRNA from 1 species
AUGACCAGCAAACGGCGAUGGAGCGAAGAACCGCGCACCCGGAGGAGCGACGGGCGGACCCGCGCGCGUGCCACAGCCACCACGCUGGAGAAGCUGACGAGGGAGGAUGAGCAGCUGGCCGCAGUCCAAUCGCGGGUCGACGCAGCCAUGGGCGAGGCUGACGCGAGCGCUGGUGAUCGUGCUUCACUGCUCGGGGAGCCGGAGCCGUGCGCCGGUCUGAGUCGUGCUUCGACACCCGCGGAAUUUGGCGGAUUGCCGGCAGCAGCGCCUUGUCGCCCGAGGAACUGGGUCGACCGCCGGCCGUCGUGCUCAGCCGGUCGGGGAACCAGGCCGAGCUUUAGCGGCUGUGCGUGUGCGGGCACUCGGCGAUGGCGUCGCAGAUGA